rnacentral:rRNA from 1 species
MSWRKKCGCCCUUAGAGUUUGAUCCUGGCUCAGAACGAACGCUGGCGGCGUGCUUAACACAUGCAAGUCGAACGUGAUUCGGAGCUUGCUCUGAUGAAAGUGGCGCACGGGUGAGUAACGCGUGGAUAACCUGCCCUGGUAUCCGGAAUAACAUCUCGAAAGGGGUGCUAAUACCGGAUAAGCCCACGGGAUCUUCGGAUUCUGCGGGAAAAGGUGGCCUCUAUUUAUAGGCUACCGUAUCAGGAUGGGUCCGCGUACCAUUAGCUAGUUGGUGGGGUAAUGGCCUACCAAGGCGACGAUGGUUAGCUGGUCUGAGAGGAUGAUCAGCCACACUGGAACUGAGACACGGUCCAGACUCCUACGGGAGGCAGCAGUGGGGAAUUUUGCGCAAUGGGGGAAACCCUGACGCAGCAACGCCGCGUGAGUGAUGAAGGCUUUCGGGUCGUAAAGCUCUGUCGGAGGGGAAGAAAAGAAAACGGUUAAUACCCGUUUUCCUUGACGGUACCCUCAAAGGAAGCACCGGCUAACUCCGUGCCAGCAGCCGCGGUAAUAC